rnacentral:rRNA from 1 species
ACGGGGGAUGCAAGCGUUAUCCGGAUUUAUUGGGUUUAAAGGGUGCGUAGGCGGUUUGAUAAGUCAGCGGUGAAAUAUUUCAGCUUAACUGAAAGGGUGCCGUUGAUACUGUCAGGCUUGAAUAUGGUUGCUGUGGGUGGAAUGUGUGGUAUAGCGGUGAAAUGAUUAGAUUUCACACAGAAUAUCGAUUGAGAAGGCAGCUCACAGAGCCAUUAUUGACGCUGAUGCACGAAAGUUUGGGGAUGAAACUG